GGCGGACGGGUGAGUAACGCGUGGGAAUCUACCCAGUAGUGGGGGACAACUACCGGAAACGGUAGCUAAUACCGCAUACGCCCUAUGGGGGAAAGGCUUCGGCCGCUAUUGGAUGAGCCCGCGUCAGAUUAGCUAGUUGGUAGGGUAAAGGCCUACCAAGGCAACGAUCUGUAGCUGGUCUGAGAGGACGAACAGCCACACUGGGACUGAGACACGGCCCAGACUCCUACGGGAGGCAGCAGUGGGGAAUAUUGGACAAUGGGCGAAAGCCUGAUCCAGCAAUGCCGCGUGUGUGAAGAAGGCCUGCGGGUUGUAAAGCACUUUCAGUUGGGAAGAUAAUGACGUUACCAACAGAAGAAGCACCGGCUAAAUCCGUGCCAGCAGCCGCGGUAAUACGGAUGGUGCGAGCGUUAAUCGGAAUUACUGGGCGUAAAGCGCGC
rnacentral:rRNA from 1 species